rnacentral:rRNA from 1 species
AAAUUGAAGAGUUUGAUCAUGGCUCAGAUUGAACGCUGGCGGCAGGCCUAACACAUGCAAGUCGAACGGUAACAGGAAGCAGCUUGCUGCUUUGCUGACGAGUGGCGGACGGGUGAGUAAUGUCUGGGAAACUGCCUGAUGGAGGGGGAUAACUACUGGAAACGGUAGCUAAUACCGCAUAACGUCGCAAGACCAAAGAGGGGGACCUUCGGGCCUCUUGCCAUCGGAUGUGCCCAGAUGGGAUUAGCUUGUUGGUGGGGUAACGGCUCACCAAGGCGACGAUCCCUAGCUGGUCUGAGAGGAUGACCAGCCACACUGGAACUGAGACACGGUCCAGACUCCUACGGGAGGCAGCAGUGGGGAAUAUUGCACAAUGGGCGCAAGCCUGAUGCAGCCAUGCCGCGUGUAUGAAGAAGGCCUUCGGGUUGUAAAGUACUUUCAGCGGGGAGGAAGGGAGUAAAGUUAAUACCUUUGCUCAUUGACGUUACCCGCAGAAGAAGCACCGGCUAACUCCGUGCCAGCAGCCGCGGUAAUACGGAGGGUGCAAGCGUUAAUCGGAAUUACUGGGCGUAAAGCGCACGCAGGCGGUUUGUUAAGUCAGAUGUGAAAUCCCCGGGCUCAACCUGGGAACUGCAUCUGAUACUGGCAAGCUUGAGUCUCGUAGAGGGGGGUAGAAUUCCAGGUGUAGCGGUGAAAUGCGUAGAGAUCUGGAGGAAUACCGGUGGCGAAGGCGGCCCCCUGGACGAAGACUGACGCUCAGGUGCGAAAGCGUGGGGAGCAAACAGGAUUAGAUACCCUGGUAGUCCACGCCGUAAACGAUGUCGACUUGGAGGUUGUGCCCUUGAGGCGUGGCUUCCGGAGCUAACGCGUUAAGUCGACCGCCUGGGGAGUACGGCCGCAAGGUUAAAACUCAAAUGAAUUGACGGGGGCCCGCACAAGCGGUGGAGCAUGUGGUUUAAUUCGAUGCAACGCGAAGAACCUUACCUGGUCUUGACAUCCACAGAACCUUGUAGAGAUACGAGGGUGCCUUCGGGAACUGUGAGACAGGUGCUGCAUGGCUGUCGUCAGCUCGUGUUGUGAAAUGUUGGGUUAAGUCCCGCAACGAGCGCAACCCUUAUCCUUUGUUGCCAGCGGUCCGGCCGGGAACUCAAAGGAGACUGCCAGUGAUAAACUGGAGGAAGGUGGGGAUGACGUCAAGUCAUCAUGGCCCUUACGACCAGGGCUACACACGUGCUACAAUGGCGCAUACAAAGAGAAGCGACCUCGCGAGAGCAAGCGGACCUCAUAAAGUGCGUCGUAGUCCGGAUUGGAGUCUGCAACUCGACUCCAUGAAGUCGGAAUCGCUAGUAAUCGUGGAUCAGAAUGCCACGGUGAAUACGUUCCCGGGCCUUGUACACACCGCCCGUCACACCAUGGGAGUGGGUUGCAAAAGAAGUAGGUAGCUUAACCUUCGGGAGGGCGCUUACCACUUUGUGAUUCAUGACUGGGGUGAAGUCGUAACAAGGUAACCGUAGGGGAACCUGCGGUUGGAUCACCUCCUUACCUUAAAGAAGC